UACACACCGCCGUCACACCAUGGAUGGGUUCACCAGAAGCAGGUUGCCUAACCGCAAGGGGGCGCCUACCACGGUGAGCUUCAUGACUGGGUG
rnacentral:rRNA from 1 species